rnacentral:rRNA from 1 species
AGACAGAGGGUGCAAACGUUGCUCGGAAUUACUGGGCGUAAAGCGCGUGUAGGCGGUGCCGCACGUCCGGUGUGAAAGCCCGGGGCUCAACCCCGGAAGUGCACUGGAUACGACGGCACUGGAGUCCUGAAGAGGAGGGCGGAAUUCCCGGUGUAGAGGUGAAAUUCGUAGAUAUCGGGAGGAACACCAGUGGCGAAGGCGGCCCUCUGGACAGGUACUGACGCUGAGACGCGAAAGCGUGGGUAGCAAACA